AUUGAACGCUGGCGGCAGGCCUAACACAUGCAAGUCGAGCGAGCGGCGGAGGGGUGAGGAAUGUAUGGGGACUGCCCGAUAGAGGGGGAUAACAACUGGAAACGGUAGCGAAUACAGCGUACGAUCGGAUAACCCAUAUGGGAUUAGCUAGUAGGUGGGGUAAUGGCUCACAUAGGCGACGAGCCCUAGCGGGUCUGAGAGGAUGAUCAGCCACAUUGGGACUGAGACACGGCCCAGACUCCUACGGAGGCAGCAGUGGGGAAUAUGGCACAAUGGGCGCAAGCCUGAUGCAGCCAUGCCGCGUGUAUGAAGAAGGCCCUCGGGUUGUAAAGUACUUUCAGUCGGGAGGCGUUACCGACAGAAGAAGCCCCGGCUAACUACGUGCCAGCAGCCGCGGUAAUUC
rnacentral:rRNA from 1 species